rnacentral:rRNA from 1 species
UACGUAGGGGGCAAGCGUUAUCCGGAUUUACUGGGUGUAAAGGGAGCGCAGGCGGCGCGGCAAGUCUGAUGUGAAAGCCCGGGGCUCAACCCCGGGACUGCAUUGGAAACUGUGCGGCUUGAGUGUCGGAGAGGCAAGUGGAAUUCCUAGUGUAGCGGUGAAAUGCGUAGAUAUUAGGAGGAACACCAGUGGCGAAGGCGGCCUGCUGGGCUUUUACUGACGCUGAGGCUCGAAAGUGUGGGGAGCAAACAGG